UCAACACAAAGAAUAUGGAUAUCAGGUU
rnacentral:piRNA from 2 species